rnacentral:rRNA from 1 species
CACGUAGGGGGCAAGCGUUGUCCGGAUUUAUUGGGCGUAAAGAGCUCGUAUGCGGCUUGGUAAGUCGGGUGUGAAACCUCCAGGCUCAACCUGGAGAUGCCACUCGAUACUGCUAUGGCUAGAGUCCGGUAGGUGAGCGUGGAAUUCCUGGUGUAGCGGUGAAAUGCGCAGAUAUCAGGAGGAACACCAGCGGCGAAGGCGGCGCUCUGGGCCGGAACUGACGCUGAGGAGCGAAAGCAUGGGGAGCGAACAGG